rfam:Tinamus guttatus contig20608, whole genome shotgun sequence.
CCAAAGGCUCUUUUUAGAGCCACCCAUUUUAUCAUAAAAGGAGCUG